rnacentral:rRNA from 1 species
GUUAACGGCUGGUCGGCGGUGCCUAACACAUGCAAGUCGAACGGUUCUAAGCGCGAGCUUAGGAUAGUGGCGAACGGGUGAGUAAAAGGUAGGAAUCUACCCCUUGGACGGAGAUAGCUACUGGAAACGGUAGGUAAACUUCGAUAAGCCCGAGAGGGGAAAGUGGUGAGACAGCCGAGGGAUGAGCCUACUCUCCAUCAGGUAGUUGGUGAGAUAAAAGCUUACCAAGCCGAUGACGGAUAACCGGUGUGAGAGCAUGAACGGUCACAAGGGCACUGAGAGACGGGCCCUACUCCUACGGGAGGCAGCAGUGGGGAAUCUUGGACAAUGGGCGAAAGCCUGAUCCAGCGACGCCGCGUGGAGGAAGAAGGCCUUCGGGUUGUAAACUGCUUUAGUCUAGGAAAAAAGGGGUGCGAGGUUAAUACCCUCGUGCUUUGAUGGUACUGGAAGAAUAAGCACCGGCUAACUACGUG